rnacentral:rRNA from 1 species
CAGAGGUGCCAAGCGUUAGGCGGAAUCACUGGGCUUAAAGCGUGUGUAGGCGGAUCGUUAAGUACCUUGUGAAAUCCCACGGCUCAACCGUGGAACUGCUGGGUAUACUGGCGGUCUUGAGCCACCUAGGGGCGAGCGGAACAAACGGUGGAGCGGUGAAAUGCGUAGAUAUCGUUUGGAACGCCAACGGUGAAAACAGCUCGCUGGGGGUGUGCUGACGCUGAGACACGAAAGCCAGGGGAGCGAACGGGAUUAGAUACCCCGGUAGUCCUGGCCCUAAACGAUGUCGACUAGAUCGUAGUGCCUCUGACGGUAUUACGGUCGAAGCAAAAGUGCUAAGUCGACCGCCUGGGAAGCACGGUCGCAAGGCUA